CAUGAUAAAAAAUAGAAAUAACAACACUAUUCUGAUUUCAUUAUCAAAGUAACAGUUCUGGCCAACAGCAUGUAGAAAUAUUGCAUCUCUUCAUUCUCAGAUAAUGGAAGACUGCAGUGCAAUACUGUUUUAUAAAUAAAAUAAAAAUUCCAAGCAGCAGGACUCCACAACUGUGAGUACUGGCUGUGUAGUGCUCUGGAAAGCACUUACUAGCUGCUUGCACAAGUAUAGGAAGACAAGAAUUUAAUGGGUCUAUAGGAAAAUUCUCAUGCUGCCAUAUGCAGAAUGUUCUUCAAUAUCUAAUUAUUCUGUCCUUUUAGGCUUACUUUUCUUCAAUACAUCCUCCUCAGCUCUAGUGGGAGAUAGAGUAAACAUACUGAACUACUUAUAAAGAGAUGGCUUCACUGGAAAGUAGUUAUUUGAGUUUAGCAGUUAUUGGAUGUGAAAUGCAGCAAUGGUGCUUGCUGAACUGAUUGUAAAAUAAAAAAUUUGAACAGACUUUGCACAGGCUCUUUCUGUUCAGUUGGUUGCAUUAAGAUGAAAAAUAUAUCUAAACAUGAGGUUAUUUUUUUUUUUUUUAACUGUAAGCAAUGUGGUUUCAAGCUACUACACACUGAGGGGGAAGUAUCCAGUAAAGUUACUAAGAAAGAUCUUAACUUCUUGGCUAAUUUCUGAAUCAGGAUCUUGUCAUACAGCCUGUGAUGGUGAGCUCACCACUCUUCGUUGCUGGUGACACUAAAUGGGGUAAUGAUACAGAUCUGGUGGUCUUUGUUGCUGAUUUUGGUAGCAAUGUAAAUCUUACCUCUAGUUGUGGCGAUAAUAAGUUAGUGAGCAUUGGAGAACUUGGUCUUGUUAAGCCUUUUCUAUAAAAAUAUUUACAUUGUCUGCGUAUGUCUGUAUGUUUUAACAGUUAAAUUGGAAAUAGCUAAUUAAAUUUAAAAUGAAAUAUUUUUAAUUUUAUUUUUUUAAUUUACUCUUUAUCUUAAGUUAAUAUAUUUCUCAUAUUUUAAAAAAUAAAUUCAAAUUACAUUCUAAC
ensembl:lncRNA